rnacentral:rRNA from 1 species
GUGCACGCUGGCGGUAGGCCUAACCCAUGCCAGUCGAACGGCAGCACAGUAAGAGCUUGCUCUUACGGGUGGCGAGUGGCGGACGGGUGAGGAAUACAUCGGAAUCUACUUUUUCGUGGGGGAUAACGUAGGGAAACUUACGCUAAUACCGCAUACGACCUACGGGUGAAAGCAGGGGAUCUUCGGACCUUGCGCGAUUGAAUGAGCCGAUGUCGGAUUAGCUAGUUGGCGGGGUAAAGCCCACCAAGGCGACGAUCCGUAGCUGGUCUGAGAGGAUGAUCAGCCACACUGGAACUGAGACACGGUCCAGACUCCUACGGGAGGCAGCAGUGGGGAAUAUUGGACAAUGGGCGCAAGCCUGAUCCAGCCAUACCGCGUGGGUGAAGAAGGCCUUCGGGUUGUAAAGCCCUUUUGUUGGGAAAGAAAAGCAGCAGGUUAAUACCCCGCUGUUCUGACGGUACCCAAAGAAUAAGCACCGGCUAACUUCGUG